rnacentral:rRNA from 1 species
GACGAACGCUGGCGGCGUGCCUAAUACAUGCAAGUAGAACGCACAGUUUAUACCGUAGCUUGCUACACCAUAAACUGUGAGUUGCGAACGGGUGAGUAACGCGUAGGUAACCUGCCUGGUAGCGGGGGAUAACUAUUGGAAACGAUAGCUAAUACCGCAUAAUAUUGAUUAUUGCAUGAUAAUUGAUUGAAAGAUGCUAUUGCAUCACUACCAGAUGGACCUGCGUUGUAUUAGCUAGUAGGUGAGGUAACGGCUCACCUAGGCGACGAUACAUAGCCGACCUGAGAGGGUGAUCGGCCACACUGGGACUGAGACACGGCCCAGACCCCUACGGGAGGCAGCAGUAGGGAAUCUUCGGCAAGGGACGAAAGUCUGACCGAGCAACGCCGCGUGAGUGAAGAAGGGUGUCGGAUCGUAAAGCUCUGUUGUAAGAGAAGAACGGGUGUGAGAGUGGAAAGUUCACACUGUGACGGUAUCUUACCAGAAAGGGACGGCUAACUACGUG